rnacentral:SRP_RNA from 1 species
GCUGGGUGUGGUGGCACGUGCCUGUGGUCCCAGCUACUUGGGAGGCUGAGGUGGGGGGAUCACUUGAGCCCAGGAGGUCAAGGCUGCAGUGAGCAGUGAUUUGUCACUGCAUUCUACCCUGGGCACCAAUGUGAGACCCUAUCUCAA